rnacentral:rRNA from 1 species
UUUAUGGAGAGUUUGAUCCUGGCUCAGAGUGAACGCUGGCGGCGUGCCUAAUACAUGCAAGUCGAACGAUGAAGCUUCUAGCUUGCUAGAAUGCUGAUUAGUGGCGCACGGGUGAGUAACGCAUAGGUCAUGUGCCUCUUAGUUUGGGAUAGCCAUUGGAAACGAUGAUUAAUACCAGAUACUCCCUACGGGGGAAAGAUUUAUCGCUAAGAGAUCAGCCUAUGUCCUAUCAGCUUGUUGGUAAGGUAAUGGCUUACCAAGGCUAUGACGGGUAUCCGGCCUGAGAGGGUGAACGGACACACUGGAACUGAGACACGGUCCAGACUCCUACGGGAGGCAGCAGUAGGGAAUAUUGCUCAAUGGGGGAAACCCUGAAGCAGCAACGCCGCGUGGAGGAUGAAGGUUUUAGGAUUGUAAACUCCUUUUGUUAGAGAAGAUAAUGACGGUAUCUAACGAAUAAGCACCGGCUAACUCCGUGCCAGCAGCCGCGGUAAUACGGAGGGUGCAAGCGUUACUCGGAAUCACUGGGCGUAAAGAGCGCGUAGGCGGGACAGUCAGUCAGGUGUGAAAUCCUAUGGCUUAACCAUAGAACUGCAUUUGAAACUACUAUUCUAGAGUGUGGGAGAGGUAGGUGGAAUUCUUGGUGUAGGGGUAAAAUCCGUAGAGAUCAAGAGGAAUACUCAUUGCGAAGGCGACCUGCUGGAACAUUACUGACGCUGAUUGCGCGAAAGCGUGGGGAGCAAACAGGAUUAGAUACCCUGGUAGUCCACGCCCUAAACGAUGGAUGCUAGUUGUUGGAGGGCUUAGUCUCUCCAGUAAUGCAGCUAACGCAUUAAGCAUCCCGCCUGGGGAGUACGGUCGCAAGAUUAAAACUCAAAGGAAUAGACGGGGACCCGCACAAGCGGUGGAGCAUGUGGUUUAAUUCGAAGAUACACGAAGAACCUUACCUAGGCUUGACAUUGAGAGAAUCCGCUAGAAAUAGUGGAGUGUCUGGCUUGCCAGACCUUGAAAACAGGUGCUGCACGGCUGUCGUCAGCUCGUGUCGUGAGAUGUUGGGUUAAGUCCCGCAACGAGCGCAACCCCCUUUCUUAGUUGCUAACAGGUUAUGCUGAGAACUCUAAGGAUACUGCCUCCGUAAGGAGGAGGAAGGUGGGGACGACGUCAAGUCAUCAUGGCCCUUACGCCUAGGGCUACACACGUGCUACAAUGGGGUGCACAAAGAGAAGCAAUACUGCGAAGUGGAGCCAAUCUUCAAAACACCUCUCAGUUCGGAUUGUAGGCUGCAACUCGCCUGCAUGAAGCUGGAAUCGCUAGUAAUCGCAAAUCAGCCAUGUUGCGGUGAAUACGUUCCCGGGUCUUGUACUCACCGCCCGUCACACCAUGGGAGUUGUGUUUGCCUUAAGUCAGGAUGCUAAAUUGGCUACUGCCCACGGCACACACAGCGACUGGGGUGAAGUCGUAACAAGGUAACCGUAGGUGAACCUGCGGUUGGAUCACCUCCUUUCUAGA